rnacentral:lncRNA from 15 species
AUGGUUGAACAGGGUGUAGAGGAUGGGGCCGGGCCGGGUCCUNNNNNNNNNNNNNNNNNNNNNNNNNNNNNNNNNNNNNNNNNNNNNNNNNNNNNNNNNNNNNNNNNNNNNNNNNNNNNNNNNNNNNNNNNNNNNNNNNNNNACCACAGAGAGAAUCCAGACUACAGACCAGAUCCAGACCACAGACAGGAUCCAGACUACAGACCAGAUCUAGACCACAGACAGGAUCCAGACCACAGAGAGAAUCCAGACUACAGACCAGAUCCAGACCACAGACAGGAUCCAGACUACAGACCAGAUCCAGACCACAGACAGGAUCCAGACUACAGACCAGAUCCAGACCACAGACAGGAUCCAGACCACAGACGAGAAUCCAGACUACAGACCAGAUCCGGACCACAGACAGGAUCCAGACUACAGACCAGAUCCAGACCACAGACAGGAUCCAGACCACAGACCAGAUCCAGACUACAGACCAGAUCCAGACCACAGACCAGAUCCAGACUACAGACCGGAUCCAGACCACAGACCGGAUCCAGACCACAGACCGGAUCCAGACCAGAGCUGCUACUGAUCAUGAGUUUCCUGAGUGGGCAUCUCCUCCAGAUGAGGAGCAGUGAUGAAGGUGAGAUCAGCUCCUCCUCCUGUCAAUCAAACAGUGAGAGGGCGGGGUCUGCAGACAGCGGUCCUGUGGCUCUGCCUCCUCGCUCCUGUCUUCGGUCAAGACCAAUCAGGAGCAAGAGAGUCACCUUCAGUCGGGACUCCAGGCAGCGUGAGGAGGAGGAGCAGGACCGACCUUUGCUGUCAGACAGCUGCAGACUGCUGACUUUAACCUCAGGUCAGAGAUCAUUUAUAUUUAUGAUCUUUUAUUGACAGUUAAUCUGCAGAUUUUAUUUUUGAGCACAAUUUUUGUCUGUUUGUUUGUUUGUUUAUUUGUUUGUUUGUUUACCUCCUCUCUCCGCUAGAUUAUGAAGUCACUACAAAGACAUGAAUAGAGAGUUAACUAUGAGCUAUGUUAGCAUAGCCCUGAUCCACCAAACUCCAUUCAGAAAAUUAAAGCUGCAAGCAGCGUUGGGCGGGACCUCGCACUCCACGCAACUCGGGGCGUGCUGCGGCCGCGUCGCGUGUGGUCGUAACACAUGCGGACCAGGACAUGAAAAUCUCACGUAAAUCAGUUGAAAAUCGCCACGCGGCGCUUACUUCCUGUUGCCAGUAGGUGGUGCUACCAAUUUGUCUGAAUAUUGUCAUGUAGACUUGCUCAGGGCGGAACUCUUAUCAAACGUGAAGUUUCGUUGAGAUCAGAUAAUGUACACUGAAGUUGUGAGGAUGUGUUCAGGCUAGGACUGUUACAGAAUAUGUGAAGUUUAGUGGAGAUUGGACAUUGUACACUGAAGUUGAGUCUGUUUAUGGUGAAUGGUCGAAAUUCAACACAACGCCAUGGGCACGCCGUUUGACAGAAUGUCAUAAAUAGCACAACUUUUAAUCAUGAAUGUCUUUAGGUUGUGCUGAUUAAAUUUGAAGUUGAUCCGAUAAAUCCCCUAGGAGGAGUUCGUUCCAAUACAACGGGAAAAAUCACAGAAAAUGAGCACAGAAUUCAAAAUGGCCAAAUUUCAGUGCACGCCACCGACACGCCCUUCAACUUACAUGCACAAAUAGCCUUUAAUCAGAACCAUUUUUUGACUGUGCUGACAAAUUUUGAAGUAGAUCCAAUAAAUUCCCUAGGAGGAGUUCGUUCAAAUACAAUGCGAAAAGUUCACCGAAAGUGAAAAUGAAAAUGAAAAUGGCCGACUUCCCGUGGGGUUUGGAGUAUGGGUCCAGGAGGCUUUUUUGUACGUCUCGGCUCGUUGCACGUGCCUACCGAGUUUCGUACAUAUCGGUGAAACGUGACGCUGGGGCUGCUUUUUUUUUUAUCCUGAAGGGGGCGCUACAAACACGAUUUUUGGUAUGUGACCUUCAGGCACCAGUCUACACGUGCCCUGUGAAUUUCAUAUUCAUAACUAUUACGGUCUCCGCACAGUGAUUUACCCUGCCACUAGACCUGGACGUGCUACGGUAAGCGUACAGACUCAUUUCCGGUUUACUUCCUGCUCUGUGUACACUGUUUGGUGCUGUAGCUCUGUCAGAGCAGGGCAGAGUAGUUCCCCCGGUAGUUCCCGAACAGCCGGGAAGACAGGGAGGCUGGGUGACUGAGCGAAGGUGGACUAAAACACCAAAGCCCACAGGUCACCACCAACCCAUUCACGUUUCUAAUACAUUUUCCCCACUCAGCGAUACACCCGCUGAGGAACCAACUCUGGUUAUUGGCAGCUCCAUAGUCAGAAACGUGAAGUUAGUGAAGCCAGCGGCCAUAGUUAAAUGUAUCCCUGGGGCCAGAGCGGGCGACAUUGAAUCAUAUUUAAAACUGCUGGCUAAAGAUAAUCGUAAAUACAGUAAGACUGUUAUCCACGUCGGCGGUAAUGACACCCGUUUACACCAAUCGGAGGUCACUAAGAUUAAUGUGGAGUCGGUGUGUAAUUAUGCUAAAACAGUGUCGGACUCCGUAGUUUUCUCUGGACCCCUGCCCAAUGUGUCCAGUGAUGACAUGUAUAGCCGCAUGUCGUCAUUCCACCGCUGGCUGUCGAGGUGGUGUCCAAUUCAAUUCAAUUCAAUUUUAUUUGUAUAGCGCCAAUUCAUAACAGAAGUUAUCUCAGGACACUUUUCAAAUAGAGCAGGUCUAGACCGAACUCUUUAAAACAUUAAUUACAGAGACCCAACAGUACCAGAAAACGAUGUGGGCUUCAUUGAUAACUGGAAGCCUUUUUGGGGAAAACCUGGUCUGAUUAGGAGAGACGGCAUCCAUCCCACUUUGGAUGGAGCGGUUCUCUUAUCUAGAAAUAUGGCGAAGUUUAUUUCUAAAACCUGACAGUCCAGAGUUAGGACCAGGAAGCAGAGCUGCUGUCUUACACACUUCUCUGCGCUUUCUUUAGAACAGUCACCCACCCAAAACCCCAUAGAGACUGUGUCUGUCCCCCGACCACCUAAAUUAUUUAAAGAAAUAAAAACAAGAGGAGUUCAACAUAAAAAUCUAAUAAAAAUUAAAACCAUCUCCUCAGUAGCACAAAAUAAGAGAAUGAAAUGUGGGCUGUUAAAUAUCAGGUCUCUGUCCUCUAAAGCUGUUUUAGUGAAUGAAUUAAUAUCAGAUUAUGAUAUUGAUUUACUUUGUCUUACUGAGACCUGGUUGUCCCACGAGGAGUAUGUUAGCCUAAAUGAAUCCACCCCCCCAGUCAUAUUAAUACUCACAUUCCUCGAGGCACAGGCCGAGGAGGUGGAGUAGCAGCCAUAUAUGAUUCGAGCGUUUUAAUGGACCCUAAACCUAAACUAAAUUAUAAUUCAUUUGAAAGCCUUGUUCUUAGUCUUUCUCACCCAAACUGGAAAACACUGCAGCCAGUUCUAUUUGUUAUAGUGUACCAUGCUCCUGGACCGUACUCUGAUUUUAUAUCUGAAUUUUCAGAGUUUCUAUCAAGCUUAGUCCUUAAAUCAGAUAAAGUAAUUAUUGUAGGUGAUUUUAAUAUUCAUGUGGAUGUUGACAAUGACAGCCUUAGUAAUGCAUUUAUAUCAUUAAUAGACUCAAUUGGCUUCUGUCAGAGUGUAAAUAAACCAACUCAUUGUUUUAAUCACACUCUUGACCUUGUUCUAUCAUAUGGCAUUGAUAUUGAACAUUUAAUAGUCUUCCCACAUAAUCCUUUCCUAUCUGACCAUUAUUUAGUAACUUUUGAAUUCAUGUUGUUAGAUUAUAAGCCAUUAGGCAAAACUUCCUACGGCAGAUGUCUAUCUGACAGUGCUGUAGCUAAAUUUAAGGAGGAGAUUCCAUCAGUGUUUAAUUCAAUGCCAUGUCUGAAUUUAACAGAAUCCUAUAACGACUUUAGUCCCUCUGAAAUUGAUAAUCUUGUCGAUAGUGGUGCAGGCUCACUACGAUCAACAUUAGACUCUAUGGAAAAGGAAAUUAUUAAAACAUAGGAGACUAGUACCUUGGUAUAACCACCAAACCCGCCAGUUAAAGCAAAUAGCUAGGAAAUCUGAAAGGAAAUGGCGCUCUUCCAAAUUAUCAGAAUAUCACUUUGCAAGAAAAUCUUAAAACUUAUAGAAAGGCCCUCCGUAAUGCCAGAGGAGCCUAUUACUCAGCACUAAUAGAAGAAAAUAAGAAUAACCCUAGGUUCCUCUUCAGCACUGUAGCCAGGCUGACAGAGAGUCACAGCUCUAUUGAGCCACAUAUCCCCAUAAACUUAAGUAGCAAUGACUUCAUGAGCUUCUUCUAUAACAAAAUUAUUACUAUUAGAGAGAAAAUUAAUCACCAACUGCCAUCAACAGUUGGCUCUCCAAGUUCAGGGACUUCUGCCAAUGUAAACUUCGAUAUAUAUUUAGACUGUUUUUCUGCUAUCGAUCUUCAUCAGUUAACUUCAAUCAUUUCUUCAUCGAAGCCAUCAACCUGUCUGUUGAGCCGAUCCCAACUGGCUGCUUAAAGAAGUUGUACUCUUAAUUGGCACUUCUUUACUGGAUAUGAUAAAUCUUUCUUUAUUAUCAGGAUAUGUACCACAGUCCUUUAAAGUAGCUGUAAUUAAACCCCUUCUUAAAAAGCCCACUCUUGACCCAGGGGUUUUAGCCAACUAUAGACCAAUCUCUAACCUCCCCUUCCUCCCUAAGAUUCUUGAGAAAGUAGUCGCCAAAGAGUUGUGUGACUUUUUACAUGACAAUAGUUUAUUUGAGGAUUUUCAGUCAGGAUUUAGAGUUCAUCACAGCACAGAGACAGCUCUGGUUAAAUUUAAUAAUGACCUUCUGAUUGCUUCUGACAAUGGACUUGUCUCUGUACUUGUAUUAUUAGAUCUUAGUGC